UUUUUCGGACAAUGGAUGUAGAGGAAAGUGGCGGACGGGUGAGUAACGCGUGAGGAACCUGCCUUGAAGAGGGGGACAACAGUUGGAAACGACUGCUAAUACCGCAUGAUGCAUAGGGGUCGCAUGGCCUUUACGCCAAAGAUUUAUCGCUGAAAGAUGGCCUCGCGUCUGAUUAGCUAGUUGGUGAGGUAACGGCCCACCAAGGCGACGAUCAGUAGCCGGACUGAGAGGUUGAACGGCCACAUUGGGACUGAGAUACGGCCCAGACUCC
rnacentral:rRNA from 1 species